rnacentral:rRNA from 1 species
GGUAAACGCUGGCGGCGUGCCUAAAACAUGCAAGUCGAACGGACAGUCGCAAGAUUGUCAGUGGCAGACGGCUGAGUAACGCGUGGGUGACGUACCUGUUGGUGGGGAAUAACUGCCCGAAAGGGUGGCUAAUUCCGCAUAAGUCCGUCGGUUCAAUCCGACGGGGAAAGCUUCUUGUAAAAGAGAGGCGCCGAUGGAGCGGCCCGCGUCCGAUUAGCUUGUUGGUGGGGUAACGGCCUACCAAGGCGACGAUCGGUAGCUGGUCUUAGA